rnacentral:rRNA from 1 species
CCUACGGGAGGCAGCAGUGGGGAAUAUUGGGCAAUGGGCGCAAGCCUGACCCAGCAACGCCGCGUGAAGGAAGAAGGCUUUCGGGUUGUAAACUUCUUUUCUCAGGGACGAAGAAAGAGACGGUACCUGAGGAAUAAGCCACGGCUAACUACGUGCCAGCAGCAGCGGUAAGACGUAGGUGGCAAGAGUUAUCCGGAUUUACUGGGUGUAAAGGGCGUGUAGGCGGGAAAGCAAGUCAGAUGUGAAAACCAUGGGCUCAACCUGUGGCCUGCAUUUGAAACUGUUUUUCUUGAGUACUGGAGAGGCAGACGGAAUUCCUAGUGUAGCGGUGAAAUGCGUAGAUAUUAGGAGGAACACCAGUGGCGAAGGCGGUCUGCUGGACAGCAACUGACGCUGAGGCGCGAAAGCGUGGGGAGCAAACAGGAUUAGAUACCCCAGUAGUC